rnacentral:rRNA from 1 species
UACGUAGGGCGCAAGCGUUAUCCGGAAUUAUUGGGCGUAAAGAGCUCGUAGGCGGUCUGUUGCGUCGGCUGUGAAAACCCGGGGCUCAACCCCGGGCCUGCAGCCGAUACGGGCAGACUAGAGUUCGGCAGGGGAGACUGGAAUUCCUGGUGUAGCGGUGAAAUGCGCAGAUAUCAGGAGGAACACCGGUGGCGAAGGCGGGUCUCUGGGCCGAUACUGACGCUGAGGAGCGAAAGCGUGGGGAGCAAACAGG